rnacentral:rRNA from 1 species
ACGAGAAAUCUUUAGCUUGCUAGAGAAAGUAAAGUGGCGCACGGGUGAGUAACGCGUGGGUAAUCUGCCUCCGAAUCGGGGAUAACAUUGCGAAAGCGAUGCUAAUACCGGAUAAAAUCUGGUUGGCUUCGGUGAACCGGAUCAAAGGUGGUCUCUUUAUAAAAGCUACCGUUUGGAGAUGAGCUCGCGUACCAUUAGCUAGUUGGUGAGGUAAAGGCUCACCAAGGCGACGAUGGUUAGCUGGUCUGAGAGGAUGAUCAGCCACACCGGAACUGGAACACGGUCCGGACUCCUACGGGAGGCAGCAGUGAGGAAUUUUGCGCAAUGGGGGAAACCCUGACGCAGCAACGCCGCGUGAGUGAUGAAGGCUUUCGGGUCGUAAAGCUCUGUCGGGUGGGAAGAACCCACCAAGUGUUAAGACCACUUGGUGCUGACGGUACCACCGAAGGAAGCACCGGCUAACUCCGUGCCAGCAGCCGCGGUAAUACGGGGGGUGCGAGCGUUAUUCGGAAUCAUUGGGCGUAAAGGGCGCGCAGGCGGUUUUGUAAGUCAGAUGUGAAAUCCCGGGGCUUAACCCCGGAAGUGCAUAUGAAACUAUGAGACUUGAGUAUGGGAGAGGGAAGCGGAAUUCCUGGUGUAGCGGUGAAAUGCGUAGAUAUCAGGAGGAACACCGGUGGCGAAGGCGGCUUCCUGGACCAAUACUGACGCUGAGGCGCGAAGGCGUGGGGAGCGAACAGGAUUAGAUACCCUGGUAGUCCACGCAGUAAACGUUGAUCACUAGGUGUAGCGGGUAUUGACCCCUGCUGUGCCGGAGUUAACGCAUUAAGUGAUCCGGCUGGG